UACGGAGGGUCCAAGCGUUAUCCGGAAUCAUUGGGUUUAAAGGGUCCGUAGGCGGUUUUGUAAGUCAGUGGUGAAAGCCCAUCGCUCAACGGUGGAACGGCCAUUGAUACUGCAAGACUUGAAUUAUUGGGAAGUAACUAGAAUAUGUAGUGUAGCGGUGAAAUGCUUAGAUAUUACAUGGAAUACCAAUUGCGAAGGCAGGUUACUACCAAUAC
rnacentral:rRNA from 1 species